rnacentral:misc_RNA from 1 species
UUUAUCUGGUCUUUUGGAGGUCAAUGGGAUACCUAUUUCAAAUAUAGCUUACAAGUUUGCUUAUGUGAGACAGGAGGAUCUUCUCUUCUCGCAGCUGACAGUGAGGGAGACACUGUCCCUUGCUGCAGAACUUCAACUUCCAGAGAUAUCUUCGGUGGAGGAAAGAGAUGAGUUUGUGAACAAUUUGCUGUUCAAGCUAGGCCUGGUCAGCUGUGCUGAUUCCAUUGUUGGUGAUGCAAAAGUUCGUGGGAUAAGUGGUGGUGAAAAGAAACG